AGCACAGUAAGAGCUUGCUCUUAUGGGUGGCGAGUGGCGGACGGGUGAGGAAUACAUCGGAAUCUACCUUUUCGUGGGGGAUAACGUAGGGAAACUUACGCUAAUACCGCAUACGACCUUCGGGUGAAAGCAGGGGACCUUCGGGCCUUGCGCGGAUAGAUGAGCCGAUGUCGGAUUAGCUAGUUGGCGGGGUAAAGGCCCACCAAGGCGACGAUCCGUAGCUGGUCUGAGAGGAUGAUCAGCCACACUGGAACUGAGACACGGUCCAGACUCC
rnacentral:rRNA from 1 species